rnacentral:rRNA from 1 species
GGAAAGUUGCAAAGUACUUUGAAGAGAGAGUUCAAGAGGACGUGAAACCGAUAGGAUGGAAGCAGAUGAAGUUGACGAACGAGCGUCGUAUUCAGGGUUGCAUCUUGUGUGCGGUCUGUUCUUGCGACCGAUGUGGGCUGGCGGCUUUGGUCAAUGCACUGUGUCAAGUUUCGAUGGAGACCCUGCGGAGGGAUAAUCGGUCGUUGCACGAUACGUGGUAUGGCUAAGGUUAUCGCCGGUCUUGAAGUCAGCGCCUCAUCUGACCCGUCUUGAAACACGGACCAAGGAGUGUAGCGUUUGCGCAAGUCUUAGAGUGUGUCAAAACUUUGAGGCGUAACAAAGUAAAUGUAGUUUCGAUCUACUGACUUGGGACGCGUUGUCUCGUGUGGACGGCGCUGGACCAUGGUUUUAUCGCGAUCGCUUGCGAUGCGGUGAAAAUAGAGCGUAAACGGUGCGACCCGAAA